UACGGGGGGGAGCAAGCGUUGUUCGGAUUUACUGGGCGUAAAGGGCGCGUAGGCGGUCAGCACAAGUCAGUUGUGAAAUCUCCGGGCUUAACUCAGAAAGGUCAACUGAUACUGUGCGACAGAGUGCGGAAGGGGCAACUGGAAUUCUCGGUGUAGCGGUGAAAUGCGUAGAUAUCGAGAGGAACACCUGCGGCGAAGGCGGGUUGCUGGGCCGACACUGACGUGAGGCGCGAAAGCGUGGGGAGCAAACAGG
rnacentral:rRNA from 1 species